CGCGCCGCCCCCCGCCGCCACGCGCCGCCUCAGUGGCGCCGCCGCCGCGCGCGGAGCGGCCCGAGCCGCCGCCGCCGCCGCCGCCGCUGCCGCCGCCAUCUCCCCGCGCGCCCCCGGAGGGAACAGCGCGGCCGCGCUGAGGCCAACCACCAACCAGCAGAGCUGCCUCAUGCAAGCGGACCCAUGCAAGAUGGUGAGCAAAGCCCUUGGAAUUACGCCGACAACCUUCCUUCUUCUGGUACCCACCAAAAACCCCCGGCUACUGGGCCUGAAGGAAAUCAAGCCAGCGAGCGAACCAUGGUGAAUGCACGUGGGGCCAAGGCCGCAGCCCCCUCAGCUAGAAAACCAUGAGCGCCACGGGAACGGGCAAUCACCAGCAACCUGAGGGAAGAAAUACUUGAAAGAGCAUUCGGUGCCAGCAUGUCCUAACCACAAUAACUCACUGCCCACGUUAUCACAAAAUACCACGAAGUAACUUGAAAAACAACAGGCUUCUUUUGGGAGGAAGGGAGGGGGGGAUUUUUUCAGUUAUAAGGAUGUUGGGUGUAACUUGAACUUAACAGAAAUAAAACAAGUUUAGAGAAAUGCGAUUUUUAAAUUGAAGUUGCACCUGUAAAUAACCAGCAGUAACAAAAGCAACUGAAUCACAUCCUAAUUAUCAUUGACAGGCACACAGCAAGCACAGACACAAGGCUGAAGGACAUCAACACUUUGUAAAAUAUAUCCUGUGAAAAAUUGGUACUUCUGCUUGACUAGGAUUCAUUUCCAGAGAUGAUUAAGACAGCCCUAGCAGAGCUGUAACCAUACACCAGAGGUAAGCAGCUUCUCUACUUAGGAAACUGCUUUUAAAUUCCAGCGCAUUCCUCUAUAAACUUGACAUUCAUAGCUGCUUUGAAAGAAUUACCUGUCAUGUGAAAUAAAGCUCUUAACUCCUUUGCCAACUGUCCUAUAACAUACCGAUCCUUAAAUACUCUUUUGCUGUUUUCAG